rnacentral:rRNA from 1 species
AGGUGCCCUUAUUACAUGCAAGUAGAACGCUGAAGAGAGGAGCUUGCUCUUCUUGGAUGAGUUGCGAACGGGUGAGUAACGCGUAGGUAACCUGCCUUGUAGCGGGGGAUAACUAUUGGAAACGAUAGCUAAUACCGCAUAACAAUGGAUGACACAUGUCAUUUAUUUGAAAGGGGCAAUUGCUCCACUACAAGAUGGACCUGCGUUGUAUUAGCUAGUAGGUGAGGUAACGGCUCACCUAGGCGACGAUACAUAGCCGACCUGAGAGGGUGAUCGGCCACACUGGGACUGAGACACGGCCCAGACUCCUACGGGAGGCAGCAGUAGGGAAUCUUCGGCAAUGGGGGCAACCCUGACCGAGCAACGCCGCGUGAGUGAAGAAGGUUUUCGGAUCGUAAAGCUCUGUUGUAAGUCAAGAACGAGUGUGAGAGUGGAAAGUUCACACUGUGACGGUAGCUUACCAGAAAGGGACGGCUAACUACGUGCCAGCAGCCGCGGUAAUACGUAGGUCCCGAGCGUUGUCCGGAUUUAUUGGGCGUAAAGCGAGCGCAGGCGGUUUGAUAAGUCUGAAGUUAAAGGCUGUGGCUCAACCAUAGUUCGCUUUGGAAACUGUCAAACUUGAGUGCAGAAGGGGAGAGUGGAAUUCCAUGUGUAGCGGUGAAAUGCGUAGAUAUAUGGAGGAACACCGGUGGCGAAAGCGGCUCUCUGGUCUGUAACUGACGCUGAGGCUCGAAAGCGUGGGGAGCGAACAGGAUUAGAUACCCUGGUAGUCCACGCCGUAAACGAUGAGUGCUAGGUGUUGGAUCCUUUCCGGGAUUCAGUGCCGCAGCUAACGCAUUAAGCACUCCGCCUGGGGAGUACGACCGCAAGGUUGAAACUCAAAGGAAUUGACGGGGGCCCGCACAAGCGGUGGAGCAUGUGGUUUAAUUCGAAGCAACGCGAAGAACCUUACCAGGUCUUGACAUCCCGAUGCUAUUUCUAGAGAUAGAAAGUUACUUCGGUACAUCGGUGACAGGUGGUGCAUGGUUGUCGUCAGCUCGUGUCGUGAGAUGUUGGGUUAAGUCCCGCAACGAGCGCAACCCCUAUUGUUAGUUGCCAUCAUUCAGUUGGGCACUCUAGCGAGACUGCCGGUAAUAAACCGGAGGAAGGUGGGGAUGACGUCAAAUCAUCAUGCCCCUUAUGACCUGGGCUACACACGUGCUACAAUGGUUGGUACAACGAGUUGCGAGUCGGUGACGGCAAGCUAAUCUCUUAAAGCCAAUCUCAGUUCGGAUUGUAGGCUGCAACUCGCCUACAUGAAGUCGGAAUCGCUAGUAAUCGCGGAUCAGCACGCCGCGGUGAAUACGUUCCCGGGCCUUGUACACACCGCCCGUCACACCACGAGAGUUUGUAACACCCGAAGUCGGUGAGGUAACCUUUUGGAGCCAGCCCGCCUAAAAGGGGGG